rnacentral:rRNA from 13 species
AGCCGCACGGUGGCCAUGGAAGUCGGAAUCCGCUAAGGAGUGUGUAACAACUCAACGGCCGAAUGAACUAGCCCUGAAAAUGGAUGGCGCUAAAGCGUGCGACUUAUACUCAGCCAUCAGCGCGAGACGUAUGUGCUGAUGAGUAGGAGGGCGUGAUGCUCGUAUCGAAGCCUUGGGCGUGAGCCUGGGUGAAGCGGGCUCUGGUGCAGAUCUUGGUGGUAGUAGCAAAUAAUCGAAUGAGAUCUUGGAGGACUGAAGUGGAGAAGGGUUUCGUGUGAACAGUGGUUGAUCACGAGUUAGUCGGUCCUAAGCCUUAUGCGAAAGCUGU